GAGUUUGAUCCUGGCUCAGGAUGAACGCUAGCGGCAGGCUUAACACAUGCAAGUCGAGGGGUAUUGGUUUUCGGACCAAGAGACCGGCGCACGGGUGCGUAACGCGUAUGCAAUCUACCUUUUACAGGGGGAUAGCCCAGAGAAAUUUGGAUUAAUACCCCAUGGUAUAAUGAGUUGGCAUCAACCCAUUAUUAAAGUCACAACGGUAAAAGAUGAGCAUGCGUCCCAUUAGCUAGAUGGUAAGGUAACGGCUUACCAUGGCAACGAUGGGUAGGGGUCCUGAGAGGGAGAUCCCCACACUGGUACUGAGACACGGACCAGACCCCUACGGGAGGCAGCAGUGAGGAAUAUUGGUCAAUGGGCGCAAGCCUGAACCAGCCAUGCCGCGUGCAGGAUGACGGUCCUAUGGAUUGUAAACUGCUUUUGUACGAGAAGAAACAUCCCGACGUGUCGGGACUUGACGGUAUCGUAAGAAUAAGGAUCGGCUAACUCCGUGCCAGCCGCCGCAGU
rnacentral:rRNA from 1 species